CAGGUCCCUGGAAGUCAUUGCUGGGCUGGAAAGUAACAGCAAGAUCUUCACUGUCUACGUCCAUGGGUUACUGCAGCUGCAGGCUGGGCAAUACACCUCCAUAUUCGUGGACAACAGCGCUGGGGCUCCCAUCACCAUCCAGAACGGAUCUGACUUCAUGGGAAUGCUGAUGGGAGCGUAGCAGGGCAGGGAAGGAUGGGAACCACGUGCCUGCAGCGUGGAUUGGACUGAGGAAAACCCUGCUCUGACCUUGAAAAAAACUGCCCCCUGUGACUGUGGCACCCUUUAAAAAACAAGCAAAGAGCCUUUUCCCUUCACGGCCCCCUCGGCUUUGCUUUCAGAGGCUGCAGCUUCUCCAGGCCCCACACCGGCUCAUCUGCCCUCCAGAACGUGCUCUUGUCCUCCUGA